AGUUUUCAGUUUUCAGAGUGUUUUUUUUAAGAGGAGGAGAAAAAUUACUUCCUUGUCCUUUGGGAAUAUACUUUAGGGGAACAGGAGCUAUUGGAAGAAAAAAAAUCCUCUCUUCAUUUUGCGAGUCGAUUAGGCGGCCGAGGGUGGAGAAAUGAUAUUAUUACCUUGUUAACAUAUUACAACAUAUGAUUUAAUAAGAAAGUUGGACCCAAAGGGAAGUAAAGACUAAUAAGUUCCAUCAAUGACGAAAUUCUUGCCUUUUAUUUUUCCUUUUAUUUUUUGAAGAAAACAGAAAACUUACUUACUUGGGAACUCGCCUAGGAAUAUAUUACAUUGUAUAGUUUAAAGAAGCCAAAAUCAAAAGUAACUGUAUAUUUUGGUGUUAGAGAAUAGAUAUUUGAGCUCCCAGAACGUGAAGCGGAGCUUAAGUUCGCCUCUAUCAAGGGUAAAAAAGAAACUUACUGCUCGUUGCAACCCCGGUAAUCCAAACUAAUUCGGGAAAAGGUAUGUUCGGAUCACAGAAUUUUCGAAUUAUCGAAACUCAAUAUAAUAUUAAAAGCCAAACUGUUUUUUUAAACCUAAAAAGAAUAUAAAUUUAUUACGCAAAACGAGACAAUAAGACAAAAUUUAAUAAAAAAAACGAAUGUAGCGUUUACAGAAACAAUUUUUUGCACACACUAUCUUUAUUUACAUAAUUUAUUUACAAGUAAAAUAUAGACGAGAUUAUCGAAUUAAUUAUUAUAGACGAAUUAUUGAAAUUACUUCUUAAUAAUGCUUCUUAAAAAGGUGCGCCAAUUGGUCUGGCCUUAUUUUUUCAUGAUUUUUUUAGUGCUUCUAUCCAGUAGAAAUUACAGCAAUUUCCGCAACUAAGGGCCGAUUUAUAGAGCGUUGGGCAAAAGUAUGGAACAGAGCGUUUUGUGCCUAGUUAUGUACCUUACGAAAAAACUAAUUAGUACAUGAUCAACUGCUUUAAAAAUGUGAUCAUUUUUUAAUAGUAAGAUUUUUCGAGAUUUCUUUUAGUUUUCGAGUUAUUCAAUUUUUUUUUCAAAUGGCGCCCUACUACGGCAAUUUUUUUGGUAAAAUACUAUACUCUAGAAAUUACUUCUACUUUAAUAAAAUUGAUUUUAAACCUGUGGUUUUUCUUAAAGAAGUUAUUAAAGUUGCAGUCCAAGCUCAUUACGAAAAUUUUUCGAAUUUGGCCGAAGUGGUUGUAUCCAUGGAUGUCUAUUGUCUUUAUUUGUGAAAAAUUUGACGAGAAUCAAAUUAGUGGUUUAAAAAUAUUCAUUGGGACAGACACUUCGGCUAAAUUAAUUUUAUUAAAGUAGAAGUUAUUUUUAGAGGAUAAUCGUUCACUAAAAAAUCGGCGUAGUAGGGUGCCAUUUGAAAAAAAUAAAAAUUUCAAUAACUCGAAAACUAAAAGGAAGUUAUUCUUGAACAAUGAUCACAUUUUUAAAGUAGUUGAUGUACUAAUUAGUUUUUUCGUAAGGUACUUAGUUUAGGCACAAUACGCUUGGUACUUUUGUCCAACACUGAAUAUUUUCCUCUUAACUUUUUUAACAUUUUUGGGCAAUUGGCAUCCGCACUUUUCUACAGUAAUGGCUUUGGCACUUUGUACAGUUAUUAAACGUUUUUCAAAUUUUCCUAAGUUUAGUAUGAAUUAAAUUUACCAUUAAAAAAUCAUAAAUUGUAAAAAGAAACGCAAGAAAUUUUGCCUCAACCUGUUAUUCGAGUGAAACAAUAAAUCGUUGUCUGACCUCUCUUUUUCAACUGUCCGCUUUUUUUCAAUUACCUGAGCGUUGAUCGCGCUAAGAUGGAUCUGAGCCACCCUUAGAUCGAAUCGCUUCAUCGAAAUAUCCUCUUGGAGUUCGUUGGCUUUGUUAUAAAGUGCCGCUUCAACCGAUCGUUGCUGAAUCCUCAGCAACGUUUCUAGAGCGUCUUGGAUUUGUCUGAUUUGCGCCUCUAAAUCAGCCGCUUCCUUUUUCAAAACAUCGUGGGAAGGCUUCACUUGGAGCGCCGAUAGUCUGUCUAUUACUAGUUCGUCCUUGAGAGGCGGGGGGAUGUUAUCCUGGAGCUGAAGGGAAAUUAAUUCGGAUGAGGUACGUUCAGCUCACUUUCAUUAAAUAACUUACGUUUUGCAUGUCUUGCGGUUCGCCGUCUACGGGAUCCGGAGGUGGGGGCGGUUGAGGCGGAACGAAUGGUCUCUUAAGAAUGGGGGCCCUGCCCGUGGGGGUGGGCAGAGAUCGCGCUAAGUGGGCCAAAUCCGAUGACGACGAGAUGGAUUUGCAUUGGGAAACUAAACCGUCAUACCUCUUGCAUUGCUCCUUCGCCUAGUGGAAAACAAUGUCCAAUAAAUCACAUUUUCUCUGUUUUAGACGAAAAGAGUGUACUUUUAUUCUUUGGACGCGAGUUUGAAACAGGCUUUAAUUUUUAUUGAACACAUUUUUAGAAAAAUUUAAUGGAAUUCAUCGAAGUGUUUUCUGGGCUCCGUGAAACCAACACCACAAUUUCUAUCAGCUUCACUACGUAUGGCAGCCAUCCUACCACUCUUCACACAUAAAGCUUCACUUAUACUCCUAAUACGAUAACAUACAGUAAUGUCUGUAAGUAAUUUACAGUAAUGUUAGCGUUUACAUAAUUUUGAAACAGCUAAUAAUAAUGAAACUUGUGACGAAAACUUGAUACAUAAUACAUAUAAAUAAUAAAACACAAUUAGAAAAGUAAAAUUUAAUUAAGGGGGAGAAUACCCAUGGUAAAGGCGUCGGAUUUCAGCCAAUUUCCCUAUUGUUUUACAGUCAUUGUAAGUAACGUUUUUGAAAGUUGUUUACAGGAUACAUUCUUCUACUGUUGUAAAUGCUAUCAGUGCUUUAUUUAAUUCAGAAAAACAUCCUGAAACUACAAAAAAUGUCUUUUUUUAACAUAAUUUCUCUUCAACAAUGAGUAUUAAUAGGGAGAAAAUGAAAUACUUUUGGUCCUGUAGUGGACUCUUAGAAAUAAAGUGGCUUUUGUUUUAACUUGAAACUCGCUAACUUAUAAAACUCUUAAAACGAACUUGCGGUACUGGCCUAUGAUACCAGCGAUCCAUCUAUUGUGUGCUCACUUCAAUUCAGUGUCGUUCAUUCUAUUCGUUGG